GACAGAGGGGGCAAGCGUUGCUCGGAAUCACUGGGCGUAAAGGGCGCGUAGGCGGUUUGUCGCGUCUGCUGUGAAAACUCGGGGCUUAACCCCGGGCCUGCAGUGGGUACGGGCAGACUAGAGUGCGGUAGGGGAGACUGGAAUUCCUGGUGUAGCGGUGAAAUGCGCAGAUAUCAGGAGGAACACCGGUGGCGAAGGCGGGUCUCUGGGCCGUAACUGACGCUGAGGAGCGAAAGCAUGGGGAGCGAACAGG
rnacentral:rRNA from 1 species